rnacentral:tRNA from 1 species
GCCUGGGUGGCUCAGUCGGUUAAGCGUCCGACUUCAGCUCAGGUCAGGAUCUCACGGUCUGUGAGUCCGUGAGUUCGAGCCCCACCUCGGGCU